UACGGGAGGCAGCAGUGGGGAAUAUUGCACAAUGGGCGCAAGCCUGAUGCAGCCAUGCCGCGUGUAUGAAAAAGGCCUUCGGGUUGUAAAGUACUUUUCAGUCGUGAGGAAGGUGUUAAGGUUAAUAACCUUAGCAAUUGACGUUAGCGACAGAAGAAGCACCGGCUAACUCCGUGCCAGCAGCCGCGGUAAUACGGAGGGUGCGAGCGUUAAUCGGAAUUACUGGGCGUAAAGGGCACGCAGGCGGUUAAUUAAGUUGGAUGUGAAAUCCCCGGGCUUAACCUGGGAAUGGCAUUCAAGACUGGUUAGCUAGAGUCUUGUAGAGGGGGUAGAAUUCCAUGUGUAGCGGUGAAAUGCGUAGAGAUGUGGAGGAAUACCGGUGGCGAAGGCGGCCCCUGGACAAAGGACUGACGCUCAUGUGCGAAAGCGUGGGGAGCAAACAGGGAUUAGAUACC
rnacentral:rRNA from 1 species